GCAGCCAGGCUGCCCACAGGCCCUGGGCGGUGGGGGCCGGCCCUGUGCCUUGGGCAGCCUGGCCCUUGCUGAGGCGUGCUUGCGCGUGUCCGUUGUCGCCCUCACCCAGCUGCUGCGGCGGAGAGACGGAGGCCAGCGCGGGGAGCGGAAGCCGGAGCCUGUCGGGAGCGACCCCGGGAAGGCCAGUCCUCCUGCCGGAGGGAGGCGUGUUGGCGUGCGGCCGGUGGCGGGAUCGAUGGCCACCUGGUAGGCGAUGCUGCUGCGGCGGAGAGACGGAGGCCAGCGCGGGGAGCGGAAGCCGGAGCCUGUCGGGAGCGACCCCGGGAAGGCCAGUCCCUCCUGCCGGAGGGAGGCGUGUUGGCGUGCGGCCGGUGGCGGGAUCGAUGGCCACCUGGUAGGCGAUGGUAAGCGGCAGUGGCCUGCGCCAACGUAGCCCCUGGGGCGCCGUGUGUGGCGCCCGGACCCGCACCCUCUGCUCCCGGGGGUGGAGCUGACCUGCUUGCCCGCGGUUGGGCUCGGGAGCCUGCGGGCCGCGGCCAGGAGGGAGCUGGCUGGCCGUCCCGGCGGUGGGGGCUGUGGCGGUGGCCGUCCCGCGGGUGUGCCCGUGCUCGGAUCGAUGAUGACACCCACAAACGCAUUCCUUGGAAAAUCUGAACAAAAUGAGUGAGAACUCACUACCGUCUCCUCAUCGCAAACUGAGGUCCGGCACGUGGCUCCCACAGGGGACGUCGGGGGAGGGUCCCGUUGCCUUGGCUCCCUUGGGUGCGUGCAGCCCUGGGGCGCAGGUGGGGCAGGCAGGCCUCCGGUGGCCCGGAGGGCCAUGGGGAGAGGAGC
rnacentral:lncRNA from 1 species